UUUAGCUACCAGAUGAAUUGCUUUCAUUUAAGAAAAAACACCCAUUUGAGCGACUAACUCAGAUGUUGCUGCUGAAAUUUAGCUACCAGAUGAAUUACUUUCAUUUGAGAAAAAACUCCCAUUUGAGCAACUAACUCAUGAGUGGGCUUCAUUUAAUAAAAUAAAAUAAAAUAAAAAGCUAUUCACAAGGUAGUGCAUCUGCUGUAGUCCAAAAUCCAUGUUGGUUAAUUCUCUUCAACUAUCAAUUAUUUAUUUAUUUAUUGUACACAUUUGGCCUUGCUGAUGAUAGUACCAGCCAGAUUUGUAGGUAAUGACAGUGGUCCCCACCUGAUGAGUGGCAUGGAUCUUGUUUGGAUGUGUUACGUUUCCAUCUCUAAUUAGGGUAGCCUCUGCAUUGCUUGUCAACCAAAUAAUCCCGAUGCCCCUACUUAGGUGAGCCUUUGAUAUUGUGGACCCAUUAGUGUGGAAUGGUCAGCUUUCCUCAGUGGGAGCAACUGGUCGCAGAAUCACUCGAACUUGUAUCUAUUAAAAUCAUAAAACGAAAUUCGAUAUGUUUAAGAGCCUGUUUGCACACAACUGGUGUUGAACUGCAGAUCAGUUGAAUAGGAUUAGAAUUAGCUCCAUCCAUUCGUUUCAAGUGGGGAGAUGAAAGAAAAUUGGUAGGAGAACUGCUGGAUUCUGCCAGCUUCCAGCUUCCAUCCCUGAAAGUAUUUGAGAUGUGUGCACCGUCUCAUAUUUGAAUCCCCUUUCCUGUGACAAAUCUGAAAAACUUGGAUUUUUUUAUUUUUUAUUUUAUUUUUAAUCCCAUAUUCUGUCAUUCCUAACACACCUUCGGAAUUUUAAAUUUGGAGAAAAUGAGGAGGUAUGGCCAGAAUUACCCCCUCAGUUCAUGGAGAUUGCCAGAGUGGAUUAAAGGUAAAAGAUGUCUUUUCUUUUGGUGUUAAACCAAAAAAUGGUAACACCUAUUUGAGAUUGGACUAUUGGCAGCAACGAAAGCCUGCUAAACAAUGUAAGAAAAACAAGGAAAGAAACUAACUGUUAAUAAAAACCCACUUAACUUCCACUAAUGAGCUCAACAAUGUAUAUCCAUCCCAAGAAAAUACAAGCAGGACUACAUCUCCAACUCAUCUAUGAAAGGCUGAAAACCAAUCACCACCGUUAAGGGCCUGCAGUUCUAUAGAUAGCAACUCAUUUAUUCCUGCAACAACCUGCUACAGCCUACAGCUAGGCAAAGGUAGUGGAGUAAGAUAUGUGGGUCCACUAAAUUCGCUUAACAAUUGGAUGAAUGUAGUAAGUAGUAACUAUGAGUUGGUUCGAUCAUGUUGCUCCAUGGAUGGUGAUCUUUGACGCAACAUUUAGGUCUCAGGUGUGAUCCCAAUUUACCUA